UAUGUGAUCGUCUCUCGCAUAUCAAUAAGCGGAGGAAAAGAAACUAACAAGGAUUCCCCUAGUAACGGCGAGUGAAGCGGGAAGAGCUCAAAUUUGAAAUCCUAAAGGGUUUCCCUUUACGAAUUGUAGUUUAAAGAAGUGUUUUCUGUUGAGGUUUUGGUAAAAGUUCUUUGGAAUAGGACAUCAUAGAGGGUGAGAAUCCCGUAUUUGACCUUUACUUUCAACUUUGUGAUACACUUUCAAAGAGUCGGAUUGUUUGGGAAUGCAGUCCAAAAUGGGUGGUAAAUUUCAUCUAAAGCUAAAUAUUGGCGAUGAGACCGAUAGCGAACAAGUACCGUGAGGGAAAGAUGAAAAGAACUUUGAAAAGAGAGUUAAACAGUACGUGAAAUUGUCAAAAGGGAAGCGUUUGACACCAGUGUUGUUUUUCUGAAAAUCAAUUAAAGAACUGUUUAUGCUAAGCUGUUUAGACUUUAUCAGCUAACUGUUUAGUUUUGAGCUUUUCUUUAAUGCACUUUUCAGUUAACAAGUCAACAUCAAUUUCUUUUGCUGUAAAAAAGCUUGAGGAAGGUGGCUUGAGAUUCGUCUUAAGUGUUUAUAGCCUCUUGCCUAUGCAGUCGGAGAGAUUAAGGUCUGCAGCGUAGAUCCUUCGGGGCUAAAUGCAUUUGUGCUAAGUUAUAGCAUUUUAUAGACAACUUGUUGACUAUGAUUUGUCUUGUAGCUUACUCGCUUAUGUUAUUUUACCUACGCUUAGGAUGUUGAUAUGCAUGACUGAUAU
rnacentral:rRNA from 1 species